AUCACUGUGGAGGACUUUUGGUGGAGGAACCAAACUCAUCAUUAACUCUGGCACCAUGGUCAGGCCCUCAGUCUCUCUGCUUCCCCCCUCCUCUGAGCAGCUCUCUGGGGGCUCGGCCACGCUGGCCUGCCUGCUGACCGGCUACUCUCCUCAGGGAGCCGUGGUGAGCUGGCAGGUGGACGGUACGGAGGUGACGGAGGGGGUCCUGAGCAGCUCAGAGGAGGAGAAGAGCGGCCGCUACAGCAGCAGCAGCACCCUGAGCCUGAGCCAGGAGCGCUGGAUGGAAGGAGAGCUGUACUCCUGCAGGGUCCUCCAUCAGGGCCACAGCCAGACCCAGUCCCUCCACAGGAGCCAGUGUAAGGGCUAGAGGGGCCGGCUGAAGCCCAGGACAGGAGCUCUGUGUGUGGGGGGAGCAGCUCUGAUCA